AUUUUAUUGAAAGGAAGUGUCCAUUGUUAUAAAAAUUCCUAUUUCACCAUUAAAAUAUUUGAUAUUCAGGUUCAUUUUCCCAGUUUUAUGUCUGACCCUGCAGCUGGUGUUAAGGAGUUGGAGAGACAGAAGGCUUUAGGAAGGAUUCGUUAUUACGGAGUAUCAAACUAUGGCCCUAAGAAUAUGAAGCAAUUACUGGAGGCUGGUGGAAAACCUGUCACUAACCAG
rnacentral:lncRNA from 1 species